rnacentral:lncRNA from 1 species
GUGCACCACAAAUGCAGGUGCAAACAUCAGACUACUUUUUUAUUUUGUCUCUAGGUCUGUCUAAAAAGAAACCAAGUUCAAGACAAGUCCUUUUGCACAAUCGACUGGUUUAUCAACAGGUUGCUGCAGUCUUAUAAUGGUUUUAUCAAUAAUCAUAUAUUAUAAUAGGACUUUAAUAUAGAAUUCAAUAGCCUGUUAUAAGUCAAAAUGUGAGGAUGUGGUUGAUGAAGAAAAUCUGGAUUUGACUUGAAAGGCCUUAACUGAGCUGGCACCACCUCCACCUUCACCUCCACCAGUGUGUGCACUCCUGUAACAUAGCUGUAACAUGUCCUACAACUUAUAUGUCCUACAUAUUCAACUGUUCAACAAAAACAAAAGCCAACAAGGUCAUUUCAUUUUCGUAAAAACACCCAGAUCUUCAUCAGUCUCUUGUUUACUGCUGCUUAAAUUCUCCUUGUUUAAAAAGCAUCAACAAUAAAAAAAUGUGUACAUAUUUCCAUCAUCAUAUCGUAUCAAAACGUUCAAAUCGAGGAACGGGUUGCACACAAAGGUUUCCUGAAGCACACUUUGAUUAUGAUAAUGAUGAUGGUUUGGAUAAUGUGAGAUCUGUAGUUUUAUAACCCUUAAAUACUCAAAAUUCUAUUGCAUAUUAUACAUUAUUUAUUUAUUUAUAUGAUGAAAAAAAAAACACUCAGACCAAGGCACUUCACACCAAGACUUUAAGGCAGAUGCUUGGAUGGAUUUCACUGUUGAUUUCCUGAGGACGAGGCGUCUUAUCUGACCUGGAACUCAAAGUUUUUGAUGGAAGAUCUGGGCCGAGAAGAAAACGGAGAAAAGCAGAAGGAAUUCAGCUGAUGGGGCGAUGCUGUGCAGGGGAGAGCUUUUUCAGCACACCAGUGCAAAAUGCUGGUCCUCAGAGGGUGCAAGACAUCUUCAAGAGGAGCACAAAGAGCAAAGAUCCCACGGGGAAAGGAGACGUUAGGGACGCUUGGCCAUCACAGCAGACUCUUCAGACCCAUUUAUCACCCAUUUAGAUUUAUACCUGUGCCUUCGAUCAAGCCCCUCUAGGAACACCUGGAUUUAAAACAAACACUCGCAAGUUGUAAAGAAGACACUCACUCAUACAUGGCCCAUAAUAUAUACUAUUGAAUUUGAAUUUGAAUUUGAAUUUAUUGAAAGGAUAGCCCCUUGAGAUGUGACAUCUCAUUUUCAAGGGGGUCCUAUAAAUACAUACACAAAAAAAAAAAGCAAAAAAAAAAAAAAAAAAAAAAAAAAAA